rnacentral:piRNA from 1 species
UCCUUCUGUAACAUGCAUAGGAUCAGAAA